GGCGAAAUGGCCGAGCGGUUAAGGCGCCAGACUAAGGAGGAGCGCGGAUCUAUAUGUUCCAUGUGCACGACCAACUUGUUUCCGAGUGCAUUAUCUGGUCUUUCGAGGCAUGGGUUCGAAUCCCAUUUUCGUCA